rnacentral:rRNA from 1 species
AGCAGCCGCGGUAAUUCCAGCUCCAAUAGCGUAUAUUAAAGUUGUUGCAGUUAAAAAGCUCGUAGUUGAAUUUCGGGGUCAGUAGGCUGGUCAUGCCACUGGUAUGUACUGGUCUCACUGAUUCCUCCUUCCUGAUGAACUGUAAUGCCAUUAAUUUGGUGUUGCAGGGAAUCUGGACUGUUACUUUGAAAAAUUAGAGUGUUUAAAGCAGGCUAACGCCUGAAUACAUUAGCAUGGAAUAAUGAAAUAGGACGUUCGAUCCUAUUUUGUUGGUUUCUAGGAUUGACGUAAUGAUUAAUAGGGAUAGUUGGGGGCAUUAGUAUUCAAUUGUCAGAGGUGAAAUUCUUGGAUUUAUUGAAGACUAACUACUGCGAAAGCAUUUGCCAAGGAUGUUUUCAUUAAUCAAGAACGAAAGUUAGGGGAUCGAAGACGAUCAGAUACCGUCGUAGU